rnacentral:rRNA from 1 species
CCUACGGGCGGCAGCAGUGGGGAAUUUUGCACAAUGGGGGAAACCCUGAUGCAGCGACGCCGCGUGAUUUAGAAGGCCUUCGGGUUGUAAAAAUCUUUUGUAUAGGAAGAAAAUGACAGUACUAUACGAAUAAGGUCCGGCUAAUUACGUGCCAGCAGCCGCGGUAAUACGUAAGGACCGAGCGUUGUCCGGAAUCAUUGGGCGUAAAGGGUACGUAGGCGGGUCAUUAAGUUAGAAGUCAAAGGCUAUAGCUCAACUAUAGUAAGCUUCUAAAACUGGAGACCUUGAGUAAUGGAAGGGAAAGUGGAAUUCCUAGUGUAGCGGUGGAAUGCGCAGAUAUUAGGAGGAAUACCGGUGGCGAAGGCGACUUUAUGGCCAUUAACUGACGCUGAGGUACGAAAGCGUGGGUAGCAAACAGGAUUAGAUACCCUGGUAGUC